rnacentral:rRNA from 1 species
CGAUGACGUUGAUAGGUCGGGUGUGUAAGCGCAGCGAUGCGUUGAGCUAACCGAUACUAAUGAACCGUGAGGCUUAACCUUACAACGCCGAAGGUGUUU